rnacentral:rRNA from 1 species
UACGUAGGUGGCGAGCGUUGUCCGGAUUUACUGGGCGUAAAGAGCACGUAGGCGGCUUGUUAAGUGUGAAGUGAAAUCUCCAGAGCUCAACUCGGAAACCGCUUCGCAUACUGGCAAGCUAGAGGAAUGCAGAGGUAAGUGGAAUUCCUGGUGUAGCGGUGAAAUGCAUAGAUAUCAAGAGGAACACCAGUGGCGAAGGCGAGUCCCUGGACGAUACCUGACACUGAGGCACGAAAGCUAGGGGAGCAAACAGG